GCUAUAUCACGUCGAAACACCGGUUUUCAUACGAUCACGGAAGUUAAGCAACGCCGAGCCUGGUCAGUACCGAGAUGGCUGACCGUUUCGGAAUAUCAGGUUCUGUAA